rnacentral:lncRNA from 1 species
GUGUCACUCACCUGUCCCAGGUGUGUCACUCACCUGUUCCCCCCGGGUCUGACGGCGGCCGCGGGGGGCACGAGGGUGACCCCCAGCAGGAAGCCCAGGUGUCCCCAGGUGUCCCAGGUGUCCCCAGGUGUCACUCACCUGUCCCAGGUGUGUCACUCACCUGUUCCCCCCAGGUCUCACAGCGGCCGCGGGGGGCACAAGGGUGACCCCCAGCAGGAAGCCCAGGUGUCCCAGGUGUCCCAGGUGUGUCACCUGUCCCAGGUGUCCCCAGGUGUCCCCAGGUGUCCCCAGGUGUCCCCAGGUGUCCCCAGGUGUCCCCAGGUGUGUCACUCACCUGNAGCGCACGUGACCGCUCCACUGACGGUUUUUAUUUAUGGCGCCACCGGGCGGAAAGGCGGGAAAAGCGCGGCGGGAGAGGCCACGCCCCCGACAGAGCCACGCCCACAAAACGGACACGUCAAUCAACAGAAGCCCCGCCCAUAAACGGACACGUCAAUCAAAAAAUCCCCUCCCACUGCUAAAGCCCCGCCCACAAAACGGACGUGUCAAUCAACAGAAGCCCCACCCAUAAAUGGGCACAUCAAUCAAGGAAAGCCCCGCCCAUUGUUAAAGCCACGCCCACAAACGGGCAUGUCAAUCAAAAACCUGUCAAAAAACGUCAAUCAGUCCGUGGGUCUGUCCUGGUCUGUCCGUGUGUCCGUCCGGGGCUGUCGCUGUCCUGGGGGGGUCUGUCCAUGGGUCUGGCCCUGCUGGACAUCUGUCCGUGUGUCUGUGCUGUGUGUCCGUGUGUCUGUGUGUCCAUCCGUCCGUGUGUCUGUCCCGUGUCUGUGUGUCCGUGUGUCUGUGCCAAGCGUCCGUCUGUCCCGUGUGUCCGUCCCAUGUCCGUGUGUCUGUACCGCGUCCAUCUGUCCGUGUGUCUGCGCCGUGUGUCUGUGUGUCUAUCUGUCCAUGUGUCCAUGUGUCCAUCCCAUCUGUCCGUGUGUCCGUGUGUCUGUGUGUCCAUCUGUCCGUGUGUCCAUGUGUCCAUCCCAUCUGUCCGUGUGUCUGUUCCGACCGUCUGUCUGUCCAUCCCGUGUGUCCGUGUGUCCGCCCUGUGUCCAUCUGUCCACGUGUCUGUGCCCAUGUGUCCGUGUGUCCGUCCCGUGUCCGUGUGUCCGUACCGCGUCCAUCUAUCCGUGCGUCUGCGCCGUGUGUCUGUGUGUCCGUGUGUCCAUCUGUCCGUGUGUCCGUCCUGUCUGUCCAUCCCGUGUGUCCGUGUGUCCGCCCUGUGUCCAUCUGUCCACGCGUCUGUGCUGUGUGCCCGUGUGUCCGUGUGUCCGUCACAUGUCCGUGUGUCCGUGCUGUGUGUCCGUGUGUCCGUCACAGGUCUGUGUGUCUGUCACGUGUCCGUGUGUCCGUGUGUCCAUCGGUUCGUGUGUCUGUCUGUCCAUCCCGUGUCCGUCUGUCCAUCCGUCAUUUCCAGAAGAGCACGUUCCAGAGCAGCAGCCAGCAGGGGUGGGCGCCCAGGGUGAGGAGGGGGCUCAGGUGGGUUCAGGUGGGCUCAGGUGGG